UGGGGUGGGGCCGCAUCCAUGGGCGUGUGACCCGGCCGGCCAGGGUGACAGCCACAGGCAGAGGCUGUCAGUGGGACAGGAGGGAUCUGAAGCCCCCUCGAGGGUCACGCUUGAACAGGCUCCCGGGGGACUCAGAUCUAGGCAGGAAGUCACUGAACUGUCCCAGGUCCCGCCACAUCCCUGUCCUCCAGGGGGCGGGGCCUAGGGGCAGCUGGGUGGCCUGGUUCUGUUUUGACCACAUGGAAGGACACCGGAGCUCUGUGAUGACCACAGUGAUGCAGGCCCAGAUUCCCCGGCCAACGGCUGCAGGCCCAUGCUCAGCUCUGUCAGGGGUCCUUCAGCUGCAGAGCCCUGGCACAUGGCAUCCCCUUCCCGGGAAGGCUUGGCCCAGUGCCCAGCUGAGGCACGGAAGUCUGGCUCCUGGGCCACUGCAGUUACGCCGAUGGCCCUGUUCACGGCAGAGCUCCAGGCGGCCCCACCUCGUCCAUCCUGCCCUGAGACCCAGCCUUGCCCCUGCCCCAUCCCUCCACUGCCCCUUCUCUCUAUGGCUGUCUCCCCUUCUGCCCUGCACCCCAACCUGGCCUUGCCCCUGGCACUGAUUGGAGCUGGAGGGCGGGAGGCCCUACCUGGGAGCACUGGGGCUGCUCCUCCCGCCUCUCCAGGGUGGCCAGGUGGGCGCGCAGGCCUGUGCCCAGGUGGUUGAGGAAGACCACGUUGAGUGGGAUGCCCACGAGGGCAUAGAAGACACAGAAGACCUGGCCCAGCCCGGUGCUGGGUGCGAGGUUCCCAUAUCCUGUGAGGGAGGGAAGUUCAGACCCCAGCCUCAGACUCCAGCAGAGGCCCCUUGCAGAUGACGCUGCCUCCACGAAGCCCUCCUGACGUCUGCUUCCUCCUCCCGCUGGCCCCUGCCCACAGCCGACUGCCCACCACAAGGCCGCGGCUCUGUCCCCGAGGGUCCAGGACGCCGGGAGGCAGCGCUCUGGGACCAGCUCUCAGCAGCCAGGCCCGAGUCAGACCUGGAGGCCGCAUCCUCGCCCUCGGGCCCUGCCGAGCUGGGCUCUGCCUGUCCCGAGGGCCCCGAGGGUGUGGGCCCAGCCACCUGCAGGUACCCCGUGCGGCCCAACUGGUUCCCUGUCUUGCCCGUCUCACCUGCCCGCUCCCCGCCUGUGCUUCCCUCCUCCUCCCUGGAUGGGCCCCGUCCCGUGCCAGCCUCUGCUCCCAGGGAGCCCGACUAAGACGGGGCCUCGGGAGCCCCCUUGUCCCGCAGCCGUUUACCUAUGGUGGUGAUGACCGUGCCUGCAAAGAAGAAGCUGCUGCUGAAGUCCCAGUUGCUGGGGUUGGUGGAGUUGCCUUUGGGGUUCACGCCUUUCACCCAGGCUUCCAAGAUGACCUGUGGGUAGCAGGUAGGGACAGUGACUCUCACCAAGCAGCAGCCGAGCUGGCUGUGGGUGGUGAUCACCACUGCUCACCCAGCAAGGCUGCCAGACAGCCUCAUCUGAACUGCAGGGCCGGGAGCCCAAGGCCCAGGUUGGCCAAGGGACUUGCCUAAGGGCGUUGGCUCCAAGGCCAGCAGCUGCCUGGCUGGGGAACAGCAGGGGGCCUAAGGGGCCGAGGUGGGCGAUCCAGGAGGGGUCCAGGUGGGAGUCAAAUGCUGUGGCCAGGGGAUGAUGCGCACUGAGUGUUAGGAUAAGGAGCGCAAUCCAGGUUGGAUGACAUCUCAGGUUAGAUUUCCUGGCGACCUAGUUUACCGGGGCCGGGGUCCACAGGAAGCCUGGGGACUGCCCUCGGAGGGGGCUGAGGCAGGGGGGCCUGCAGGGGAGGAGCUGCUGUGCUCUUUGCCGCCCACUGGCAAGUCUGGCGCUGCCUACAGAGAAAUCCUGUGCGCGUGCGCGCGCGUCUGCGUGGGGUGCGCUGAGUGCCCGGCGCUGUGUGCUGCACGGAUGUGCGUGUUUCGUGUGUGCGUGUGCAGUGCGUGUGUUUCUAGAGCUGAAUUCUUGGUGGCUUGGGCCCCUCUGUCUCUGGGACCAGCACUCUUGGAGAAUGGGGCUCCUUCCUCCCUGCCCCGCCCAGUGCCCUGUAGCUGUGGUGUGCAGCCCCUGGCCUGCGUUCCCUUGGGAACCACGAAGCGCUGGCCCGGGAGCCGCUCACCUGCCUCGGUGGCCCUGGGCCGGGGCUGGCCUCAUCGGCAGCGACUGGCUCUGAGGAUGCGGACCUGAGCCGCAGUCUCUCCCGCCCCAGCACAGCCCUCCCUGCAGACCCCGUCCUGAUCCGGCAGCUCUGGGCCUGGUCCCCGGGGUCCCCUCUGCGCCCCUGGGGCCCGGAUGCCGGAGCCCCGAUGGGGCGGGUGGGGGCAGGCACGUGGUGGUUUCUUCUCUGAGUGGUGGGGGUGCGGAGAGGGCGGGCGCCCUAGUUCUGUGCCGGGCAGACGCUGCUUCCUCACAGCUCAGCGCUGCCCUUCAUGCCAGUGGCCGGCGUUGACGCCUGCAGUUCCUGGCCACGGGGCUGGGGGGCGACAGCUGCUCUCCAACCAGCUCGGUGCCGCUGCCGGCCCAGGGCCACGCUCUGAGAACCGCUGCCCGGCUGGCCGUUUCCAGUCCCCACUUCGCAUGCUAAUCUGUGUGGUGCCCAGCAAGGCCUCCCUGGCCGGAGCUGACGAGAUUCUGUCUGUACCAGUGACCUGCAGCCCUGGCGGACUCUCCACCUCCCAUGCCUCAGUUCCCACCUGCAGGCUGAGGAAGGUGACGGGAACAGGUGACAGCACCUGGUGCAGGUUCUGAUGCUCCGAGCCCUGCUCCUCACUGCUUGGGCACAUUGGAGGGAGGCCGAAGGAACCCGGCAGGAGAGCCUGCCGUGGGCACAGAGCAACAGGGCUUUGGUCACCUGGGCCACUGCCCACAGCCCAGCUCCAGGGGAGCGAGGCCAGCAUGGUGGCUGCUCCUGACUUUGGCCGUGUCCCCUGGGGACACACGCAGGCAGGAGGGGCCGCAGCCUGGAGCUGGGGUCAGGAGGUGCCGGGGACGAAGCGUGGAGAGCGUUGCCAGUGCGGACACUCAGCCGUGUCUGCGCUGCCUGUGACAGCACAGAGCGCCUUGAACCGGCUGCCAAGUGUCUGGGGCCGCCACCCCACAGACAGGGACACCUGGGUCCAGCGAGGCUCAGGGACUUGCUCAAGGCCCCACAGUGAUCCAGGUGCAGACCUGGGCAGAAUCCAGGACCGGGUGUCACUGGGCCCUGUCCCCACCACACGCUGCUCCCACAGGUCCCCAGCCCUCGGGGUCCCAGCUCUGCGCCUGCCUGGAGCUCCUGGUCUCCAAGUCCCCACACCCCAUCCCUGCCACCCACCUGCUCCCCUCACCUGCACAAACCGCUCCAGGGCCCGCCGGUCCAGGCACGUGUAGUUCUCCAGGAAGCGCAGCUUCUCCAUCUGAAACUGGUCCCUGGAUUCGGCCUCCGCUGGCUUCUCCAGCAGCUGGAAGAUGGUGGCCCCAAGCAGCAGAAUGGGCCAGGAGGACCCACCUGCCGACUGGGGACUGGGACCCGAGGAAGAGCGCUGGGUGACAAAUCAGGGUACAGCGAUCAGGCCAGUGACCGCCACGCUGCGGAGCAGCAGCACCAAUCUGCUGGUAAAUUGGACACUGAGGCCUCCUUGCUUCUGCAGGUCGUUUGUGUCGCUUGAACCCCUCCAGCAGGUCCCUCCGGAGGAUAAUGUGCUGGGUGGGGACAGAUGUGAAUAAAAGAGACCCAAAAGCAUGGCUGACCCAGGGUGCUGCCAGGGCUCAGAGGGGUGAACUGAUGCUGCUUCUGCCUCUCCCUCCUCCGCUCCUGCGUGUGUGAGAGGUAUACAGAGAGAAUUCACCAACUGCCAUCCACACACCUGAAGUGUACAAUUCAGGUCUGGAGCAUAGUUGCAGAGUUGUGCAGCCAUCGCCACCGUCAGUGCUCAUCAUCUCUACGACAAGCUCCCCCUGCUGGCUGCUACCCUGUGGCCUAACCCAGACCCCCACAGCCUGGGGCAGCCGCUAAUCUGCCUUCUAACUCCAUGGAUUUCCCCACCUUGGACAUUUCCUGUAAGAGGCAGCACGCAGCAUGUGGCCCUUGGUGCCUGGCUUCUUUCACUUGCAUGUUUUCAGGGUCCAUCCACAUGUACCUGCAUGAGCACUCCAUUCCUCUUCAUAGCAGAGUAAUAUUUCAAAGGAUGAUGUGCCCCACCUGCUGUACCCGUGUGAUAGCCACUUGGCAGAUUGUGUGGUUUCCACUUUCUGUUGUCAUGAAUAACGCUGCUCUGA